AUUGAACGCUGGCGGCAGGCCUAACACAUGCAAGUCGAACGAGUGGCGGACGGGUGAGUAAUGGCUGGGAAACUGCCUGAUGGAGGGGGAUAACUACUGGAAAAGGUAGCUAAUACCGCAUACCAUCGGAUGUGCCCAGUUGGGAUUAGCUAGUUGGUGGGGUAAAGGCUGACCAAGGCGACGAUCCCUAGCUGGUCUGAGAGGAUGACCAGCCACACUGGAACUGAGACACGGUCCAGACUCCUACGGGAGGCAUCAGUGGAGAAUAUUGCACAAUGGGCGCAAGCCUGAUGCAGCCAUGCCGCGUGUAUGAAGAAGGCCUUCGGGUUGUAAAGUACUUUCAGCGGGGAGGCGUUACCCGCAGAAGAAGCACCGGCUAACUCCGUGCCAGCAGCCGCGGUAAUUC
rnacentral:rRNA from 1 species